GUUUGAUCCUGGCUCAGGAUGAACGCUGACAGAAUGCUUAACACAUGCAAGUCUACUUGAACUUCGGUUUGGGUGGCGGACGGGUGAGUAACGCGUAAAGAACUUGCCUCACAGUUAGGGACAACAUUUGGAAACGAAUGCUAAUACCUGAUAUUAUGAUUUUAGGGCAUCCUAAGAUUAUGAAAGCUAUAUGUGCUGUGAGAGAGCUUUGCGUCCCAUUAGCUAGUUGGAGAGGUAACGGCUCACCAAGGCGAUGAUGGGUAGCCGGCCUGAGAGGGUGAACGGCCACAAGGGGACUGAGACACGGCCCUUACUCCUACGGGAGGCAGCAGUGGGGAAUAUUGGACAAUGGACCAAAAGUCUGAUCCAGCAAUUCUGUGUGCACGAUGACGUUUUUCGGAAUGUAAAGUGCUUUCAGUUGGGAAGAAAAAAAUGACGGUACCAACAGAAGAAGUGACGGCUAAAUACGUGCCAGCAGCCGCGGUAAUACGUAUGUCACAAGCGUUAUCCGGAUUUAUUGGGCGUAAAGCGCGUCUAGGUGGUUAUGUAAGUCUGAUGUGAAAAUGCAGGGCUCAACUCUGUAUUGCGUUGGAAACUGCAUGACUAGAGUACUGGAGAGGUAAGCGGAACUACAAGUGUAGAGGUGAAAUUCGUAGAUAUUUGUAGGAAUGCCGAUGGGGAAGCCAGCUUACUGGACAGAUACUGACGCUAAAGCGCGAAAGCGUGGGUAGCAAACAGGAUUAGAUACCCUGGUAGUCCACGCCGUAAACGAUGAGUGCUAAGUGUUGGUCUCAUAAGAGAUCAGUGCUGCAGCUAACGCAUUAAGCACUCCGCCUGGGGAGUACGACCGCAAGGUUGAAACUCAAAGGAAUUGACGGGGACCCGCACAAGCGGUGGAGCAUGUGGUUUAAUUCGACGCAACGCGAGGAACCUUACCAGCGUUUGACAUCUUAGGAAUGAGACAGAGAUGUUUCAGUGUCCCUUCGGGGAAACCUAAAGACAGGUGGUGCAUGGCUGUCGUCAGCUCGUGUCGUGAGAUGUUGGGUUAAGUCCCGCAACGAGCGCAACCCUUAUUGUUAGUUGCCAUCAUUCAGUUGGGCACUCUAGCGAGACUGCCGGUAAUAAA
rnacentral:rRNA from 1 species